UAGGUGAAAUCUAAGUGUUGAGCUCGCUCAUCAAAAGACUAGAUUUCACCCCUCAAGGAUUUUUCCAAGUUCCACCUCUUGGAAAAAUAUAUUCAUUUCGGUGAAAUCCAAGUGUUGAGUUCCCUCUUCACAAGAUUAGAUUUCAUACCUCAAGGAUUUUUUCAAGUUCCACCUCUUGGAAAAAUGUAUUCGUUUUGGUGAAAUCUAAGUGUUGAGCUCGCUCUUCACAAGACUAGAUUUCAUCCCUCAAGGAUUUUUCCAAGUUACACCUUUUGGAAAAAUAUAUUCAUUU
rnacentral:sRNA from 1 species